UUUAAAGUCUAACCUGCCCACUGAUAAUUUUUGAAGGGCCGCGGUAUAUUGACUGUGCAAAGGUAGCAUAAUCAUUAGUCUUUUAAUUGAAGGCUUGUAUGAAUGGUUGGAUGAGGUAUUAACUGUCUCAAUUUAAUAAAUAAUAGAAUUUUAUUUUUAAGUUAAAAAGCUUAAAUGAUUUUAAAAGACGAGAAGACCCUAUAGAUCUUUAUAUUUAAUUUUUUAAUAAUUUUUUAGUUAAAAUUUAUUUUUAGGAAUAAAAAUAUUGAGUUGGGGUGAUUAAAAAAUUUAGUAAACUUUUUUUUUAUUUAAACAGUGAUUUUUGAAUAAUUGAUCCAUUUUUUGUGAUUAAAAGAUUAAGUUACCUUAGGGAUAACAGCGUAAUUUUUUUGGAGAGUUCUUAUCGAUAAAAAAGAUUGCGACCUCGAUGUUGAAUUAAAGGUUAAUUUUAGGUGUAGAAGUUUAAAAUUUUGGUC
rnacentral:rRNA from 1 species